AGAACUGGACACCUCGGGGGUUUCCUGCUUUAUGGCGAAGGACGGAGUUUUGCUCUUGUUGCCCAAGCUGGAGUGCAAUGGUGCGAUCUUCGCUUACUGCAACCUCUGCUUCCUGGGUUCAAGUGAUUCCCCUGCCUCAGCCUCCCGAGUAGCAGGGAUUACAGACACAUAUACUCACAGAAAUGAGUUAUUUAAAGAAGACGGUCCAGAUUCCACAGUCCAAAAAAAAAAGAGGUUUGCCCUGCUUCUGAAGGAGUCAGGGUAUGAAUGCAGAGGUCUUCCUGUUGGCUCACAUAUCAGAUCUUCAACGUCAACAUUAAAUGCUGAAAGAACAUCAGUGUAUCAGCACAGCAAAUAUUCCAAAUGCCAGGCUGGAUUCCCUCCAAUUACCAGGACCUCCAGGCUUCUCCUCCUUUCAAGAACUUUCUGACCCUGGAUCCAGUCUAAAUGUUGGUUAUAAACUCACCUGACAUCCACAGGGCCCUUCCAAAAUACUGUCAAGGCUGACUGCUGGUGCCUGGAACCUGCACACCCUCCUGGGACUCUGCAUCUCUGCUGGGGCUGGUUUCUCCUCUGAGCCACCUUAAGGAAUCCCACCCUGACCCGGUCAGAGCUCACCAUGCCUCCCUCUCCUACUUGCUCAGCAUUUUGUGUCUAUCUAGACUGAAGCCUUUGCUUUCUCUCUGUGAUUAUGGUGAAAGUUCAGUUUGCUUUCCUAUCUCUAGAAUGUCAGCACGAAGGCAGAGGCAUGGUCUCCUGAGUUCCAUAACCCCAAAGCCUAACUCCCUGCCUGCCACACUGAGGGGCUUAGUAGACAUUGACUUACUAAAUUGAAUAGUUGAGUAAUAAUGCUCUUUGAAAUAAUUUGGAGUUAGAUCUUGAGCCUUGUGUGGCCAGAGGAUGGGUGAGGACACAUCAUAAAAACUAAAGGUAACUGAGCAUGCCAGUGGUUGGGGUGAGAAAUUUGCAUGGAGCACUCCAGACACAGAGGCAGCAAAACCCAAGUGCUGGGAAGUCAGAGUGAGAGAGUGAAGGGGCAGUGAGUGCUUCUUUAGGAGCUGGAUCAAAACCUAAGAUGAUCUGGCCACAUGGUGCAGACUGAGCACACACUUGGGAGAGAAAUGGGCCAGGAGGAGAGGAGAGAGGUUCACCACAGGACAGUGGAUGACUGGGAAUAGAAGCCCUCCCCAUGGUGG
rnacentral:lncRNA from 10 species